rnacentral:rRNA from 1 species
AGGACGAACGCUGGCGGCGUGCUUAACACAUGCAAGUCGAGCGGAAAGGCCCUUCGGGGUACUCGAGCGGCGAACGGGUGAGUAACACGUGAGCAACCUGCCCCUGGCUCUGGGAUAGCCUCCGGAAACGGGGAUUAAUACCGGACAUGACCUGCUGCCGCAUGGUGGCGGGUGGAAAGUUUUUCGGCCAGGGUGGGGCUCGCGGCCUAUCAGCUUGUUGGGGGGGUGACGGCCCACCAAGGCGACGACGGGUAGCCGGCCUGAGAGGGCGACCGGCCACACUGGGACUGAGACACGGCCCAGACUCCUACGGGAGGCAGCAGUGGGGAAUAUUGCGCAAUGGGCGGAAGCCUGACGCAGCGACGCCGCGUGCGGGAUGAAGGCCUUCGGGUUGUAAACCUCUUUCACCAUCGGCGAAGCCGGGAGCUUUUGUUUCUGGUGACGGUAGGUGGAGAAGAAGCACCGGCAACUACGUGCCAGCAACCGC